CACGUAGGGCGCAAGCGUUGUCCGGAAUUAUUGGGCGUAAAGAGCUCGUAGGCGGUCUGUUGCGUCCGCUGUGAAAACCCGGGGCUUAACCCCUGGCUUGCAGUGGAUACGGACAGACUAGAGGUAGGUAGGGGAGAAUGGAAUUCCCGGUGUAGCGGUGAAAUGCGCAGAUAUCGGGAGGAACACCGGUGGCGAAGGCGGUUCUCUGGGCCUUACCUGACGCUGAGACGCGAAAGCGUGGGGAGCGAACAGG
rnacentral:rRNA from 1 species